GCCCGAUUAGCUCAGCUGGUUAGAGCGUCGUACUAAUAAUCCUCACCAGAUUAUAUGGUAUGCGAAGGUCAACAGUUCAAUCCUGUUAUUGGGCA